rnacentral:rRNA from 1 species
UGCGCAGGCGGAAUAAUAAGUCAGUGGUGAAAUCUUUCGGCUCAACCGGGAAACUGCCAUUGAUACUGUUAGUCUUGAGUUCGGUUGAGGUAGGCGGAAUGUGUAAUGUAGCGGUGAAAUGCUUAGAUAUUACACAGAACACCAAUUGCGUAGGCAGCUUACUAGACCGACACUGACGCUGAGGCACGAAAGCGUGGGGAGCGAACAGGAUUAGAUACCCUGGUAGUCC